GAUGAACGCUGGCGGCGUGCCUAAUACAUGCAAGUCGAGCGAACAGACGAGGAGCUUGCUCCUCUGACGUUAGCGGCGGACGGGUGAGUAACACGUGUAUAACCUACCUAUAAGACUGGGAUAACUUCGGGAAACCGGAGCUAAUACCGGAUAAUAUAUUGAACCGCAUGGUUCAAUAGUGAAAGACGGUUUUGCUGGAACUUAUAGAUGGAUCCGCGCCGCAUUAGCUAGUUGGUAAGGUAACGGCUUACCAAGGCAACGAUGCGUAGCCGACCUGAGAGGGUGAUAGGCCACACUAGAACUGAGCCACGGUCCAGACUCCUACGGGAGGCAGCAGUAGGGAAUCUUCCGCAGUGGGCGAAAGCAUGACGGAGCAACGCCGCGUGAGUGAUGAAGGUCUUCGGAUCGUAAAACUCUGUUAUUAGGGAUGAACAAAUGUGUAAGUAACUAUGCACGUCUUGACGGUACCUAAUCAGAAAGCCACGGCUAACUACGUG
rnacentral:rRNA from 1 species